rnacentral:rRNA from 1 species
GAUGAACGCUGGCGGCGUGCCUAAUACAUGCAAGUCGAGCGAACGGACGAGAAGCUUGCUUUUCUGAUGUUAGCGGCGGACGGGUGAGUAACACGUGGAUAACCUACCUAUAAGACUGGGAUAACUUCGGGAAACCGGAGCUAAUACCGGAUAAUAUUUUGAACCGCAUGGUUCAUAAGUGAAAGACGGUCUUGCUGUCACUUAUAGAUGGAUCCGCGCUGCAUUAGCUAGUUGGUAAGGUAACGGCUUACCAAGGCAACGAUGCAUAGCCGACCUGAGAGGGUGAUCGGCCACACGGGAACUGGAACACGGUCCAGACUCCUACGGGAGGCAGCAGUAGGGAAUCUUCCGCAAUGGGCGAAAGCCUGACGGAGCAACGCCGCGUGAGUGAUGAAGGUCUUCGGAUCGUAAAACUCUGUUAUUAGGGAAGAACAUAUGUGUAAGUAACUGUGCACAUCUUGACGGUACCUAAUCAGAAAGCCACGGCUAACUACGUG